UACGAAGGGGCUAGCGUUGCUCGGAAUCACUGGGCGUAAAGGGCGCGUAGGCGGCGUUUUAAGUCGGGGUGAAAGCCUGUGGCUCAACCACAGAAUGGCCUUCGAUACUGGGACGCUUGAGUAUGGUAGAGAUUGGUGGAACUGCGAGUGUAGAGGUGAAAUUCGUAGAUAUUCGCAAAGAACACCGGUGGCGAAGGCGGCCAACUGGACCAUUACUGACGCUGAGGCGCGAAAGCGUGGGGAGCAAACAGGAUUGAGACUACCGGAGUAAGUCCGACGACAAGUCCUCUGCUACGUAAC
rnacentral:rRNA from 1 species